rnacentral:rRNA from 1 species
CUAAGCGUACACGGUGGAUGCCCUGGCAGUCAGAGGCGAUGAAGGACGUGCUAAUCUGCGAUAAGCGCCGGUAAGGUGAUAUGAACCGUUAUAACCGGCGAUUUCCGAAUGGGGAAACCCAGUGUGAUUCGUCACACUAUCAUUAACUGAAUCCAUAGGUUAAUGAGGCGAACCGGGGGAACUGAAACAUCUAAGUACCCCGAGGAAAAGAAAUCAACCGAGAUUCCCCCAGUAGCGGCGAGCGAACGGGGAGGAGCCCAGAGCCUGAAUCAGCAUGUGUGUUAGUGGAAGCGUCUGGAAAGGCGCGCGAUACAGGGUGACAGCCCCGUACACAAAAGCGCAUGUGCUGUGAGCUCGAUGAGUAGGGCGGGACACGUGGUAUCCUGUCUGAAUAUGGGGGGACCAUCCUCCAAGGCUAAAUACUCCUGACUGACCGAUAGUGAACCAGUACCGUGAGGGAAAGGCGAAAAGAACCCCGGCGAGGGGAGUGAAAAAGAACCUGAAACCGUGUACGUACAAGCAGUGGGAGCACAGGUUUACCUGUGUGACUGCGUACCUUUUGUAUAAUGGGUCAGCGACUUAUAUUCUGUAGCAAGGUUAACCGAAUAGGGGAGCCGGAGGGAAACCGAGUCUUAAU